rnacentral:rRNA from 1 species
AGUGAAAGCGUGUGGCUCAACCAUAUACACAUUACAGAAACUGCUCAGCUAGAGGGCGAGAGAGGUUACUGGAAUUCCCAGUGUAGGAGUGAAAUCCGUAGAUAUUGGGAGGAACACCGAUGGCGUAGGCAGGUAACUGGCUCGUCCCUGACACUAAGGCACGAAAGCGUGGGGAGCAAACGGGAUUAGAUACCCCGGUAGUCCACGCCGUAAACUAUGGAUGCUAGCUGUUAUGGGUAUCGACCCCCGUAGUAGCGAAGCUAACGCGUUAAGCAUCCCGCCUGUGGAGUACGGUCGCAAGACUAAAACAUAAAGGAAUUGACGGGGACCCGCACAAGCGGUGGAGCGUGUUGUUUAAUUCGAUGGUAAACGAAGAACCUUACCCAGGCUUGACAUCCAUGGAGUUUCUACGAAAGUAGAGAGUGCUUUAUUGAACCAUGUGACAGGUGUUGCAUGGCCGUCGUCAGCUCGUGUCGUGAGAUGUUUGGUUAAGUCCAUCAACGAGCGCAACCCUUAUAGUCUGUUGUAUUUUUCAGGCUAGACUGCCCCGGUAACGGGGAGGAAGGAGGGGAUGAUGUCAGGUCAGUAUUACCCUUUACGUCUGGGGCUACAAACACGCUACAAUGGGCCGGUACAAAGGGCAGCCAAGGAGUGAUCCGGAGCAAAUCCCAUCAAAGCCGGUCUCAGUUCGGAUAGCAGGCUGAAACUCGCCUGCUUGAAGCCGGAAUCGCUAGUAACGGGUAAGGUCAGCUAUACUACCGUGAAUACGUUCCCGGGUCUUGUACACACCGCCCGUCAAACCAUGAAAGUCACCAAUACCUGACGUGUUGUCUAGCACAGCCCUAAGGUAGGGGGGAUGAUUGGGGUU